AUUCUCCAGCAGUACAUACACUAAGAUUGGAACGAUACAGAGUAGAUUAACAUGGCCCCUUGCGCAAGGAUGACACGCAAAUCCGUGAAGCAUUCAUAGAUGUG
ensembl:snRNA U6 U6 spliceosomal RNA